rnacentral:tRNA from 1 species
GCCCUCGUGGUGGAACUGGCAGACACGCUAGCUUCAGGAGCUAGUUUCCUAAAAGGAAAUGGAGGUUCGAAUCCUCUCGAGGGCA